GGCUUUUGUUUUAACUGAUUUUGUAUCAGUGCUAUCUAUUAUCAUUACAAUGUGCUGCUUGGGGGGAUUAUAAUAUUUGCAUUUCAUUAUGGAAUUGGUGCAAUGUUUUUUUUAUCUUUAUAGCAAGAAAGUAAAUAGUUUAAAUAUAUUAUGAGUGUAGACCUAAAUUGGCCUGAUAUCCACAAUCAAUGAACAGAAUAUGAUUAUACUGCAAUACUGUAUUGAUUGAAUACAUGUGGUGAGUCAACAAAAUAAAUAAAAAAUAAUGAAUACAAUACAAAAUUAAACAAAAGAAAAAACUUUUUCUGAACAAAAGAUGCAUUGUAAGUUCAGUGUCUGUAGUGUGACCGUGGGUGUAGGAAGAAAGAGGAAGGGGUCAAAUUAUCUCCAGAAAAUUCAGAGGGGGUGGAGAGAAUGAGAUGGAUAAUGAUCGCAUAUCACUAUUUUUCAUCGCCACUAUUAAUGACAAAACUGUAAAAUAAUG